rnacentral:rRNA from 1 species
CCUACGGGGUGCAGCAGUGGGGAAUAUUGGACAAUGGGCGAAAGCCUGAUCCAGCCAUGCCGCGUGUGUGAAGAAGGCCUUCGGGUUGUAAAGCACUUUCAGUGGGGAAGAAAGCCUUGGGGCUAAUACCCUCGAGGAAGGACAUCACCCACAGAAGAAGCACCGGCUAACUCCGUGCCAGCAGCCGCGGUAAUACGGAGGGUGCGAGCGUUAAUCGGAAUUACUGGGCGUAAAGCGCGCGUAGGCGGUCUGAUAAGCCGGUUGUGAAAGCCCCGGGCUCAACCUGGGAACGGCAUCCGGAACUGUCAGGCUAGAGUGCAGGAGAGGAAGGUAGAAUUCCCGGUGUAGCGGUGAAAUGCGUAGAGAUCGGGAGGAAUACCAGUGGCGAAGGCGGCCUUCUGGACUGACACUGACGCUGAGGUGCGAAAGCGUGGGUAGCAAACAGGAUUAGAUACCCUAGUAGU